AUUGAACGCUGGCGGCAUGCUUUACACAUGCAAGUCGAACGGUAACAGGCCUUCGGGUGCUGACGAGUGGCGUACGGGUGAGUAAUGCAUCGGAACGUGCCCAGAGGUGGGGGAUAACGCAGCGAAAGCUGUGCUAAUACCGCAUGUGAUCUGAGGAUGAAAGCGGGGGACCAGGCAGCAAUGUUUGGCCUCGCGCCUUUGGAGCGGCCGAUGUCAGAUUAGGUAGGUGGUGGGGUAAAGGCCUACCAAGCCGACGAUCUGUAGCUGGUAUGAGAGGACGACCAGCCACACUGGGACUGAGACACGGCCCAGACUCCUACGGGAGGCAGCAGUGGGGAAUUUUGGACGAGGGAGGCAAGCCUGAUCCAGCAAUGCCGCGUGCGGGAAGAAGGCCUUCGGGUUGGAAAACGCUUUUGUACGGAACGAAAAGGCUCUGGCUAAUACCUGGGGAUGAUGACGGUACCGUAAGAAUAAGCACCGGCUAACUACGUG
rnacentral:rRNA from 1 species